UACGGAGGGAGCUAGCGUUAUUCGGAAUUACUGGGCGUAAAGCGCACGUAGGCGGCUUUGUAAGUAAGAGGUGAAAGCCUGGAGCUCAACUCCAGAAUUGCCUUUUUAGACUGCAUCGCUUGAAUCAUGGAGAGGUGAGUGGAAUUCCGAGUGUAGAGGUGAAAUUCGUAGAUAUUCGGAAGAACACCAGUGGCGAAAGGCGGCUCACUGGCCCGGUACUGAACGCUGAGGUGCGAAAGCGUGGGGAGCAACAGG
rnacentral:rRNA from 1 species